GACGAACGCUGGCGGCGUGCUUAACACAUGCAAGUCGAACGGAAAGGCCCUGCUUUUGUGGGGUGCUCGAGUGGCGAACGGGUGAGUAACACGUGAGUAACCUGCCCUUGACUUUGGGAUAACUUCAGGAAACUGGGGCUAAUACCGGAUAGGAGCUCCUGCUGCAUGGUGGGGGUUGGAAAGUUUCGGCGGUUGGGGAUGGACUCGCGGCUUAUCAGCUUGUUGGUGGGGUAGUGGCUUACCAAGGCUUUGACGGGUAGCCGGCCUGAGAGGGUGACCGGCCACAUUGGGACUGAGAUACGGCCCAGACUCCUACGGGAGGCAGCAGUGGGGAAUAUUGCAAAAUGGGCGGAAGCCUGAUGCAGCAACGCCGCGUGCGGGAUGACGGCCUUCGGGUUGUAAACCGCUUUCGCCUGUGACGAAGCGUGAGUGGCGGUAAUGGGUAAAGAAGCACCGGCUAACUACGUG
rnacentral:rRNA from 1 species